rnacentral:tRNA from 1 species
ACUAGGGUAGCCUAGUGGACAUGGCAUCUGCCCGGUAAGCGGAAGGUCGUGGGUUCGAUUCCCGCCCCUGGAC